rnacentral:tRNA from 1 species
GGAGAGAUGGCCGAGUGGUCGAAGGCGCACGACUGGAAAUCGUGUUACCCUCAACCGGGUACCAGGGUUCAAAUCCCUGUCUCUCCGCCA